UACGUAGGGACCAAGCGUUGUUCGGAAUUACUGGGCGUAAAGGGCGCGUAGGCGGCCUGCUAAGUCGAACGUGAAAUCCCCGAGCUCAACUCGGGAACUGCGUCCGAUACUGGCAGGCUUGAAUCCGGGAGAGGGAUGCGGAAUUCCAGGUGUAGCGGUGAAAUGCGUAGAUAUCUGGAGGAACACCGGUGGCGAAGGCGGCAGCCUGGACCGGCAUUGACGCUGAGGCGCGAAAGCCAGGGGAGCAAACGGG
rnacentral:rRNA from 1 species